UAGGACGUUCAGAUCCUUAGCUUCUUGGAUAGCGGUCACUUUGGCUUCCCAAGUUCUAGGACACAAUACAAAACAUUCAUGGCUUUAGCAUUUAGUUGAGCCAUUUUCUUAUCAACCUCAUCCCAUUCUUUUUCGGGUUUGGUUGAUUCCACACCAUCAAUAAUUUUAGUGGGUGUGUGAGGGCCGUUUACUAUGAUACUCCACAUAUCAUAGU
rnacentral:lncRNA from 1 species